rnacentral:rRNA from 1 species
CCUACGGGGCGCAGCAGUGAGGAAUAUUGGUCAAUGGCCGAGAGGCUGAACCAGCCAAGUCGCGUGAGGGAAGACGGCCCUACGGGUUGUAAACUUCUUUAGUCAGGGAACAAAGGGUGCCACGUGUGGCGCUGUGAGUGUACCUGAAGAAUAAGCAUCGGCUAACUCCGUGCCAGCAGCCGCGGUAAUACGGAGGAUGCGAGCGUUAUCCGGAUUUAUUGGGUUUAAAGGGUGCGUAGGCGGUUUGUCAAGUCAGCGGUAAAAAUUCCGGGCUCAACCCGGUCCCGCCGUUGAAACUGGCGAAC